UUGGGCGUAAGAGCUCGUAGGCGGUUUGUCGCGUCUAUCGUGAAAACCGGGAGCUUAACUCCUGGCUUGCGGUGGAUACGGGCAGACUUGAGUUCGGUAGGGGAGACUGGAAUUCCUGGUGUAGCGGUGAAAUGCGCAGAUAUCAGGAGGAACACCGGUGGCGAAGGCGGGUCUCUGGGCCGAUACUGACGCUGAGGAGCGAAAGCGUGGGGAGCGAACAGGAUUAGAUACCCUGGUAGUCCACGCCGUAAACGUUGGGCGCUAGGUGUGGGGAUGGGUUCCACUGUUUCCGUGCCGUAGCUAACGCAUUAAGCGCCCCGCCUGGGGAGUACGGCCGCAAGGCUAAAACUCAAAGGAAUUGACGGGGGCCCGCACAAGCGGCGGAGCAUGUGGAUUAAUUCGAUGCAACGCGAAGAACCUUACCUGGGUUUGACAUGCACUGGAUCGCCCCUGAGAGGGGGUUUCCCUUGUGGCUGGUGCACAGGUGGUGCAUGGCUGUCGUCAGUUCGUGUCGUGAGAUGUUGGGUUAAGUCCCGCAACGAGCGCAACCCUUGCCCUAUGUUGCCAGCGGGUGAUGCCGGGGACUCGUAGGGGACUGCCGGGGUCAACUCGGAGGAAGGUGGGGAUGACAUCAAGUCAUCAUGCCCCUUAUGCCCAGGGCUUC
rnacentral:rRNA from 1 species